rnacentral:rRNA from 1 species
GAGGCUCGAAAGCGUGGGUAGCAAACAGGAUUAGAUACCCUGGUAGUCCACGCCGUAAACGAUGUCUACUAGUCGUUGGGUCCCUUGAGGACUUAGUGACGCAGCUAACGCAAUAAGUAGACCGCCUGGGGAGUACGGCCGCAAGGUUAAAACUCAAAUGAAUUGACGGGGGCCCGCACAAGCGGUGGAGCAUGUGGUUUAAUUCGAUGCAACGCGAAGAACCUUACCUGGUCUUGACAUAUCUAGAAUCCUGCAGAGAUGCGGGAGUGCCUUCGGGAAUUAGAAUACAGGUGCUGCAUGGCUGUCGUCAGCUCGUGUCGUGAGAUGUUGGGUUAAGUCCCGCAACGAGCGCAACCCUUGUCCUUAGUUACCAGCGGGUUAAGCCGGGAACUCUAAGGAUACUGCCAGUGACAAACUGGAGGAAGGCGGGGACGACGUCAAGUCAUCAUGGCCCUUACGACCAGGGCUACACACGUGCUACAAUGGUAGGUACAGAGGGCAGCUACACAGCGAUGUGAUGCGAAUCUCAAAAAGCCUAUCGUAGUCCAGAUUGGAGUCUGCAACUCGACUCCAUGAAGUAGGAAUCGCUAGUAAUCGCGGAUCAGAAUGCCGCGGUGAAUACGUUCCCGGGCCUUGUACACACCGCCCGUCACACCAUGGGAGUUGAUUGCACCAGAAGUGGAUAGCUUA